rnacentral:rRNA from 1 species
GACGAACGCUGGCGGCGUGCCUAAUACAUGCAAGUCGAACGCAGUGGGGACGGGUGAGUAACACGUGGGUAACCUCCCAUCAGAGGGGAUAACACUUGGACACAGGUACUAAACCGAUACUGAUGGAUGGACCCGCGGGGCAUUAGCUAGUUGGUGAGGUAACGGCAUACCAAGGCCACGAUGCAUGGUCGACCGGGGAGGGUGGUCAGCCACACGGGGACUUAUACACGGCCCAGACUCCUACGGUAGGCAGCAGUAGGGAAUCUUCGGCAAUGGACGAAAGUCUGACCGAGCAACGCCGCGUGAGUGAAGAAGGUUUUCGGAUCGUAAAACUCUGUUGUUAGAGAAGCGGUAUCUAACCAGAAAGCCACGGCUAACUACGUGCCAGCAGCCGCGGUAAUUC